rnacentral:rRNA from 1 species
GUCUAUGCCCAUACCACCCUGAACAUGCCUGAUCUCAUUUGCUCUUGGAAGGUAAGCAGGGUCAGGUCUGGUUAGUACUUGGAUGGGAGAAUGUAUAAUUU